UUUAAGGUCUAACCUGCCCAAUGAGGAUUUAAAUGGCCGCAGUAUUUUGACUGUGCAAAGGUAGCAUAAUUAUUAGUUUUUUAAUUGAAAGCUUGUAUGAAGGGUUGGACGAGAUGAAAUCUGUCUUUAUUUAAAUUAAAAUAUAAUUUGACUUUUAAGUAAAAAGGCUUAAAUGUUUAUAAAAGACGAGAAGACCCUAUAGAUCUUUAUUUAAUUAAAAUUUUAAUAAUUUAGGAUUAUUUUAAUUUAAAGUUUUAAUUAAAUUUUAUUGGGGUAAUAUAAAGAUUAAAUAAAUUCUUUUUAUUUAUAACAUUGAUUUAUGAAUAUAUGAUCCAUUAAUAUUGAUUAUAAGAUUAAGUUACCUUAGGGAUAACAGCGUAAUUUUUUUGGAGAGCUCAUAUCGAUAAAAAAGUUUGCGACCUCGAUGUUGGAUUAAAAAUUAGCUUGGGUGCAGAAGCUCAAGAUUUUGGUCUGUUCGACCAUUAAAUUUUUACAUGAUCUGAGUUCAGACCGGCGUAAGCCAGGUCGGUUUCUAUCUUUAUUAAGAUAAAAUGUUUUAGUACGAAAGGACCAAAUAUUUAAUAUAAUUAUAUUUAUUUUUUGAAGAAUAUU
rnacentral:rRNA from 1 species